GGGGUCAUAGCUCAGUUGGAAGAGCGCUUGAAUGGCAUUCAAGAAGUCGAGAGUUCGAUUCUCUCUGACUCCA
rnacentral:tRNA from 1 species